CCUGGGAGUUAAGAGCUUUGAUUGAACUACUUCUGGGAGUUGAAUUUGCGUGGGACCAAGAAGAGAGUCUGUCACUUAGCUUGGAGAGUUCCAGAGACCUCCAGCAAAGUGCCUAGUCUAAUGACCAGCUAUGGGGUAAGUAAAAGGGAGAAGCAUCAGGCUUUUCCGCCCUCCUACCCUCAUGCACACUUGGCCAAGUGGUGUGGCGCGGCGUGGUGCCGAGGACCCAGGAGUGCAGUGGAGUGUGGAGGAGUGUGGCAGCCAACAGCAGAGAGCAUGAAAACACCAACACGGCUGCUUGAACGGGCAAUG